GAAAAAUCUGCCAAGCAUUACAGUUCAUCCUCAAACCCCUACCUCAGAUUUUCAGCUAGUUAAUUUACAGUUAUAUCAACUCCAGCAAUAAACUGUUGCACAUUUUCCCUGAAAGGGAAAGAGAUUACUGAUUUAUACUGCAUAACAAAAAAGUCUGACACCAACCAUUGAUAUAAAUGAGAAAAGAUCACUGCAGAAUCUUGAUGGAAUCAACACAGCCUACUGCAAAAUAUCACUAGCUUACCAGGCAGCAAAGUAUAAAUUCGCAGUAUCUGUUGUCCCAAAUAACAACCCAGCCCACAAGACAACUUAAACAAGAUCUGAGAAAGGUUUUGGAGACAGAUUUUCAGUGUCUGUGAAGAAAGUGGCACAUCUAGAGAAGAGAAAAACAGGACCAGUGGUUGCAUGAAUUGAUGAGGCAGUUAUUCAUGCCAAGGAAUCCACAAAAAAUGAGAGCAAAAGUAGGUUCCAUUUAUUUUGCUACUCAAAGCAAAUGGCCUGCCCUGCAGUAGCUGAGAUGAACUUGUUGAGGUGAAGUUUUCUGUGUCCAGAAAUAAAGCACUGAC